ensembl:lncRNA TRHDE-AS1 TRHDE antisense RNA 1
ACCCAAAAGUGGCAAUUAUUUCAGGUAAACGGACAUUUUACCUAAUUCUAAGCAAGCAUACUCUUUUGUCGGAGACUACAGCAUAAAUACACACCCAUUUUUAUCUGCCUGCUGCACACCUAGUUGAUGAAAAAAGAAGCAACCACUUCACAAGAAGAUUCUGAAGUUGGCCAUUUUUGAUCCCAGAACAGUUUCUCAUAGAUUAGAAAUAUUGGAGUCUACACAAAAAUCGAUAUUCAUUUACAAGAUCAUCACUAAACUUAUCUUGCAUAACUUACCAAGAAUAACUGUAAAAUGUGCUGGGAAUGCAAUGUCCUGAGAUAAGGAAGAACUGCCUGAAACAGCCUGGAUCUUAUUCCUGUACUUCCUAGGGAAUGUAACAUCUCAAGUUAAAGAGGAACUGCCCGGAACAGCCCGGGGAUUGUUCCUCUCUCCUGAGAAGGAAGAUUACCUCCAAAGCUCAUCCACUGAGUCACACUGCCCCUGUGGUGGAGGGCGGGCUGCCUUUCCAGGUUCCUCAGCUGUGGUGUAACUGAAGCAGGCACAAUCAAGACUCCAUCUGCUCGAGGCAGCUUUCUCGAACCUUGGGGAACCUACUCACAAUGGAUCACAGGCUUCUUUUGUUUUGUUUCUUGCUGCCUAUCUUGGGAAGCAAAAAUCAGCUGAGUGAAGAUGAGGAAGAAGGUGUUAAAGGUUUGAAGAAAAAAGGAAAAGGAUAUACUAAUCUAAGAGGACAAGUAAGUAGAACAUAGAUAAUGAAAAUGCUGGCCCUUAGGACUGUUGGGCCUAAAUGCUCAUAUUAUAUUGGUAGUCACAAAUUUGAACUUUCUCUAGAGCCAAUUUUUGCAUGUGUGUGCAGGCCUGGAGUAGUUGGAGAGUUGGAUUUAAUAGAAUUGAGGGUCAAGCAACUACAACCAGGGAAGAGUGGGACAAGGGAGAUAAAGGAUAUUGGCAGGGGAGCAAUUAUAAACAUGGACCAUGAUCAAAACUGGACAGGAAGGAAAAUAGAGAUAAGAGGGGUGGAAGGUUAAAAAUAGUGAAAAUGAGAUAGAAUGAAUAGGUUGUAGGUCCCUGUAAAGUUGAAGAAGUAUUAUUAUGCAGUACUCGUUAUUGAAAUGAGGUCACUAUGCUUAAGGCACAGUGAAUCCUAGAAAAUAGUGGUUUUGUUUCUCAUUAGGCAAUACAUUCCUCCUUGCUCCAGAAUGCAACAUACAUGUAUCCUUUUCUGUACUAUUUUUUAUUAAGAAUUCAUACUUAAUUCCACUGACUGCCACUCAAUUUUAAUGUACAGUAGGGAAUUCCUGUACUAUGUAUUAUGAAUCCAUUCCUUUGAAUUUCAUUUAUAAUACUUCAUGACUGACACCUGGCUUUCCACCAAGACUCAAUUUUCAUAGCAAGCCUCAUCAUCAUAAGCCCCCAAAUUAACAGGAUGAGGAGGAAGAAUUGGCAGGCUAAAGAAGAUGAUUAUAUCAAUUAAUGCAGAAAAAGCAUUUGAUAAAAUCCAAUAUUCAUUUGUAAUUAAAAACUCUCAGCAAGUUAGGGAUAGGAAUUACUUCAACUUAAUGAAGAGUGUCUUUAAAAACCUUAUUUUCAUCAGUUAUAACAAAUGUACCACUCUGGUGGUGAAUGUUGCUAAGGAGGGAAGCUAUACAUGUGUGGGGAAAGGAGAUGUGUGAGCAAUUUCUGUACCUUCUACUCAAUCUUCUGUG